rnacentral:tRNA from 1 species
GGCUCAGUGGUUCAAUGGUAAAGCGCUCGUCGCGAAACCAAGGGGUCCUGGGUUUAAUCCCCGGUCGGGUCG